GGACCUCGAUUGAUGUGAGCCAGGAUGUGUGGAUCUCUAGUCUACCUCUCUCCCAUUGGCCGACAUUCGUCAGUACGGAGGUGGGCGAUGACUAGCGCAUUCGUGACUUGAUCACUAAAGACAGCAGAGGCUGAAGGACCCAAGACAUCAUCCGACUGUUUGGAGGCCAGCUUACUGAUAGGAUCCUUGCUAUCCCCAUCCCUAUCCACCAGAGUUAGGAUUUGAGGGUGUGGGGCCAGUCUUAUUGCGCCAAGGUCCCUAUCAGGGAGCUUGUUACGAUGUAUAAACUAGUGUCUGAGAGAAAGAUCAAGACGACCU
rnacentral:lncRNA from 1 species